UGGAACCAUUUAAAGAUCAGGCAACCUCCAUUUUCAUCCCUUUUUCUAGAGAUAGGUGCCUCAGUGAUGUUCUCCUGUGCCUGACCAUGCUAUGCUCAUGGUGAAAGAGCAGGGCAAAGAGACAGCACUGAUGUAGGUAUAGGAGAGAUGUCCGUUAUGACUCCCCACUUGGUGCUCUCCGUCUCCCUGUGCUGGGCUGCAGAAGCUGCAUGUCUACCAUGGCUCACAUAAAGAGGUGCCUCCUUUGCCAAGCUGCCAAAGAGAAUCAUCAUCUUGACUCUUGGGAGGUGGAUUUGUUUUGCUCCUGAAGGCCAGCAGCUAUCAGGUAUCCAGUAAAAUAUUGCCUGCCUUGAGGCCAAGCAGUAAUUUCUGUUGAAGCAUACACCCAUCCACUUAUCUUUGACAGGUAAUUCUUUUAGCCUGUAUUUAAUUCACUUUGUGUGCUGUGUUGAUUUUGUACUGAACCGGCUUCUUGUGGAAUACUAAGUCAAAUAUUUUACACAAGCUUAAAUCAACACUAUUUCCUUUAUUAAGCAUAAUUGUAAUCUCAUUUAAAAAAAAACAGCUAGUUUUAGAAGAUCUAUUCCUUAUCAGCCCCCAUUGAUGGGCAUUAAUGAUAUUAUCCCUUCCUAUUUUUUCAAUCUCUGAAGUUGUUUCUCAUUGUCUGGGAUGCAUUAUCUCCCCAUGAUCAAAGCUCAGCAGGCCUGUCUAUAUCCCAGUCCUUCCACUUCCCCUGAAAUAGCAGCUUUCCUUCUGCUGUAAUUUUGCCUGUACUCUAUGAGCUCUGCAAAACCAGCAUUAGCGACCCAGAAAACCCAGUAAGUUCUCUUCAAAGCACUUCUAUGCAAAUCAUUUCAACUGCUGAUUUGAAGAUGCUUAGCUCUUGUAACAAUUGCAUGCUACCCCCUGAACUUCUGUUAUGCAAAUUGUUGUAUCAUCAUCAUCUGAUGGGAAUGCAUCAUUUGUGGUUGUUUUUCUCCCCACAUUCAGAACAGGAAUACUUGUUCAUUGAAAACAUUUGCCUUUCUGCAUAAUUAUUGCCAUUUCUAUAAUUUCAAUUUGGUCACAGUCCAAAGACAUUGUUUGGCUUCGCUUCAUCCCUAAUAUAUUUUAAAGACUUUUUCGUACUGCUCUUUUCUCUGGAGCUGCAGCCUGUCUCUUGUAUUAUUUUCCUCCCCUUAUCUAAUUUAUCCAGUUUCUAAUUUCCAAAUUACACUAAUUGCAACUUUACCCUUUUCUGUUUGUUUUCUGUGUGGAUGCAAACAUUGCUCCUUUCAUUGUUUCUCUGUGACAUGUUUGAUUUCUGUAACCAACUUGGGGAUCCUUUGCCAGAAGUGGGACUGGGGCUUUCAGAGGCUUUGGUUGCAGGAGCCUACAGAGGUAUUUCUGGGUUCUGUUUCACAGUUUGCCCUGGUAGAGAAGUGUUUUGCAUUAUAAAACUGGCUUUUCCAAUGUACCAAAUGGAUGUGUGACCAGCUGAGGUUUCUUUCCAGCUUUCCAUGAGUUAUGAUGAACACUCGAGCUUUUCCUCCUGGAGGAAUGGCUAUAGCUCUGUCCUGGAGUUAAUUCCUCUCUGCCUGAGAGCAAAUACUGCUCUGUUGGAUGCCACUUGUCUUUGCAUUAGCUGAAAUAAACUCUAGAGCUCCAGUGGGUGCUGACAGGUACACAGAGAUGCCUGUUUUCUGACAGCCCUCUCCAAACACUUUCUCAUGCUUUCAUCUCAAGUUUCUACUCCUCUGUCAAAGGAAUACAUUUGAUGGGCUGGGAGAAUAAGUACACUCGCAGGAGAAGCAGCUAUUGCUCUAAAGACGGUGCUCCAAAAAUGCAGUUCCUCAUUGCUGGGAUCGUUGGGCUAGGGCUUUCUCACCUUGGCUUUUCUGCAUGGGGCUAACUUGUCAAUUGAUGAGCGUUUUCUGCUGGUCAGGCAGCAUGUAUUCUCAGUUGUUUGUGCUUCUGCCUUCAGGUAACAGACCUACAUUACUAGAGGUCAUCCUAUGGCCAAUUUUAAGGACGUGUCUGGCCCAGCUGCUGCUGUCAGAGCCAUGCAAUGCUCUUAGUGGUAGGAUUUUGAAAGAGGAAGGAAGGUUGACAGGAAGCUCUUAAUUUAGGUGACAAUUUGGAGGCGUGUUGUCUACCUUCAGGAAGAGUGGUCACCUCUCUGGUGGCUCUGCUAAAAACUUUGUGAGAUGAGCAAGGAAACCUGGCAGCCCAGCCAGCAUUCAGAUGGCUGCCCUGGGGCUGCUGCCUUCCCUGGACCACCUAGACCUGGGGCUGGGUUUGCAAGGGCUGGCGUCUGUUGUCCUGAGUAUCUCUUCUCCGUGAUGCUGCAUCUCCUCUUGAGUCUCAGCCAGACUCUAGGGGCUUGUACCCAACACUUGUGCCAGCCUUGAGGGAACUCCCCUUUUAAUCACCUCCCCACGUACAGGCACUGCAGGUUUUCUGUGCACUGCUCUAACAAUGAGCUCCCAGUGAAAACCUCUGCUCAUCUGGAUAGCUGUGUAUUGGUCACACUCCCUGCUGGUGACUUCAGCAGAAGAUGAAGGCCAGCAAACCAUGCAGGCAGCACCCUCCUCUCUGAUGGAGAUGCUUUUCUUUGCUGUUUGCUCAGAUUGUUUAAAACAAAUUGCAUUAAUUUCUUUCAUGCUUCACAGUCUGAUUUUUUUUUUUUUUUUUUUGCCAGAAAAAAAACCACAUUAGGUUAUGAAUAAAUGGAGAAUAACAUAUUAUAUCCCUGAGAAAUUUUAGUCUUCCAUGACAUUGCUACCCACUUUGAUAACUACUUGUUCCACACAGGAGCCAAGUAAGUAGUUUUCCUCUAAUUUAUGUCACUAGGUUGUAAUUACUUUCUAGUAAUAGCUUUGUGUGAUGCUCUGUAUAAAUGCAAAACAUAAAAACAGUCCCUAGGAACUUGCAGUUUGAAUGACAUAGAAAAUGGUGCCAUAUUAACAAAUGGAGGAUCAUGCUGGGCCUUUUCUAUCCAUAGCUGGCCAUCAGAUCAGGCUGGUAUUGGGUAAAGUACAGUCACUCCACAAGCAUCAACUCUGAUUUCUCACAUUAAAAUUAUCAUAUUAAGCAAAAACCACAACCAGAGUCUGUGCUAAGUUUCCUUAAGUGUUAAAUACAAAAAAGCAUUCUACUAAAGCAAGGCCUCACAAGCAUCUUCCUCGUCUUGUAUGCCAGCCCAUGAAUUUCCCAACCACUGAGCUUCUCCACAAUGUUGCUCUUCUCUCUUUACGCCAAAACCUCUCAUGUGGUCAACCAUAUCUCACUCUGCAGCCAGCAGUGUUGAGUGUGCUCUCUGCAGUGACCAACUGGCAGGUGAAGGGAUGCUCACAGUAUCCAGGGGCAGGGAAAAAGCCACAUUUCCAAAACACAUGGCACUGUGUGCAUCUGCAGCACCAAGGUCCUUUGAAACAGCCUCUUGUAGCAAGACAUCUGUUGGACAUUUUGCAUUCUCAGGAUAUCAGGAUCUAAAAUCUACAGAGAAGAAUUAACUGAACAGCAUCUCCAGGAGCCCACUCACACCGAUGACCUCUGCAUACACAGCAAAAUUGAUUAAAUGUACACUUACUUGCCUGCAGCUUCAGCAGGGCCAGUAGGUCAAUCACAUUAAUAUCAGAUACUCUGGUUUAUUGGAGAUUUCCUGUGGAAAUGAAUGUCAGCAUGGUUGAAUCCAGAAAUGUAAAGAUUCUCGGGAAAAGUCAAACAUAAAUGGAUCGUAUCUUGCAGUUUGACAAAGCUUUUUCCAUUGAUAUUUCUCCCUAGGCACUUCAAGCUAUGGAUGCAAUAUAGGAUGUGCUCUGUGGUUAGAAGAGAUGUCUUGUCAGAUGAAGUGUCCUAGCACAAUGCAGAAGCGAGUGAAAUGUGGUGGCUUUUGGGAUGCAGUAGAUCUUCCAUGACAUUGGAGAUGUUAUUAUCAACACCUCCAUCUCUAUUAGUGGCCUUUCAUAGGUAAGGAGACAAAUCAAGAUUGCUGAGGCAGGAGCUAUCGGACACAUUUAAGUUUCCUAUCAUAAAAGGAGAUUGACCGUAGCCUGGAAGUACAUGUUAUGCUGUGACUGCAGAAGAUGGUCCUUGUUUGCAAGAAGCCAGCAGUUUUGGAGGCUCAGAGGGCGCUUGCAGCAGAGCUAAUGGGAUGGCCAUGGCCCAUCAGCCUUUCCACUCUUUCCUCUUUUGCAGACUCCUGUUCGCAGUUCAGUCUCCUGCUUCCUCCAUUGCUUCCCUGCACUGAAACAGCCUUUGUGCUGUGAUCAGCAUCACAGCAGUUUUAACAUCGUGGCCACGUGGGCUGGAGACAGGGAAACAACAGAGCUUGGGAAUUUCUUCUGCUCUGCUUUAUUGCCUCAAAACAGGCCACAGGCUGUAAUAUCUGCCUUCAGGAGAUAUUAAAGUUUACAGCACAGUAUAUUAGCAAACUACCAA